rnacentral:misc_RNA from 1 species
AGCAAAUUUCAACACAAAAACAAAAAAAAUCUCUCUUUCUUGGAUUUUAGGGUUUCUGGUGCGGCGUCCUUUAUGUUCCCUUCAAAUUCUCUCCAUAUCAGACCAGGAUUUCUCUAAUCACUCCAAUUUCGUCUAAUCGGUUUAUAUCGUCAAAAUUUGGGAUUUUUUUUGAAGAACAAGAAUUAUGUUCAUAAUUUCUUCAUCAUCCGCCAUCGUUUCC